CCCUUAGAUGUUCUGGGCCGCACGCGCGCUACACUGAUGCAUUCAACGAGUCUAAAACCUGCUCUGAUAGGAGUGGGUAAUCUUUUGAAUGUGCAUCGUGAUUGGGAUAGAUGAUUGCAAUUUUUCAUCUUCAACGAGGAAUGCCUAGUAAACGCAAGUCAUCAGCUUGCAUUGAUUACGUCCCUGCCCUUUGUACACACCGCCCGUCGCUCCUACCGAUUGAAUGAUCCGAUGAAUAUCAUGGAUUGAGGAUGCAAGUAGGUUAGCCUAUCUUCAUCUUCGAGAAGUGAAGUAAAUCUUAUCAUUUAGAGGAAGGAGAAGUCGUAACA
rnacentral:rRNA from 1 species